UAACGCGAAGAACCUUACCAAGGCUUGACAUAUACCGGAAAGCAUCAGAGAUGGUGCCCCCCUUGUGGUCGGUAUACAGGUGGUGCAUGGCUGUCGUCAGCUCGUGUCGUGAGAUGUUGGGUUAAGUCCCGCAACGAGCGCAACCCUUGUUCUGUGUUGCCAGCAUGCCCUUCGGGGUGAUGGGGACUCACAGGAGACUGCCGGGGUCAACUCGGAGGAAGGUGGGGACGACGUCAAGUCAUCAUGCCCCUUAUGUCUUGGGCUGCACACGUGCUACAAUGGCCGGUACAAUGAGCUGCGAUGCCGCGAGGCGGAGCGAAUCUCAAAAAGCCGGUCUCAGUUCGGAUUGGGGUCUGCAACUCGACCCCAUGAAGUCGA
rnacentral:rRNA from 1 species